rnacentral:sRNA from 1 species
UUCAUUAAAGAAGAUGAGGGAAAAUAAACACACAUGUACCCGUACACCAGAUAAACUGAAUGCUUCCUUCUGCUGGGGACACGCUGUAGAUGAAAAGGAAGGGAAAAGAGACUUGAUUUCCGUGCCCACUAACCACGCCAACAGAAGGCUUUGUGAAGAAGGAAGUAAAAGCUAUCGGUAGGAGUUAGAAAAAAACAUUUCUAGUUAUAAGAACAGCAGAAAAAGACCUGAACUUCAGAGUGGACCACAAAUGAAUAUGAAUUAAUAACAUAGAUCUCUUUUCAAAAGCCAACACAAAAUGAGGAUGUGUUUUUUGUAAAAGCAGCUGUUCUUGCCACUGGGCUUAUGCUUGUCAUCCUUUCAUGUGUCACAGCCAGACCUAGGAAAUUCCCUGGAAAGUCCCCUCCAUCACACACCUGCAGUUUUUCCAUUUGAGUGUAAUUCUGUUGGACCUUGAAAGACUUUUUGAUCUUUGGGACGCUCUUAUCACCAAAUGUAUCUUUCUGCAGGAAGAAGACAGAAGAAAGGGGUGGACUAUGAGAUGGGAGGCUGGGUCCCAAUUUCAGUUCAACCAUUACCAACCAGGUGGCUUUAGGCAAGUCUGGUCAUUUCCUUUGCCUCAGUGGCUUUCUGUAAAAUGGAAUUCUAUAAGGAUGAUGAAAGCGAAAACAUUAGUCACUAUGCUUGCUAGUGCUCAAGAAAUGAUUCCUUCCUGCCUGCCUGCCUCAGUUUUCCAUCUGUAAACAAGGAUUCAACUAGAACAU